AUGUUCCUUCCAGUUCUGCUGCUGCUGGCAGCUUCAUCCUAUGUGGAAUGUGCAGUAGAGCUCACUCAGGACACCUCAGUGAUGUUAAAGCCUGGAGAUUCUUUAAUCCUCAGCUGUAAAGUAUCCGGUUACUCAGUUACUGAUAACAGCUACGCCACAGCUUGGAUUCGACAACCUGCAGGGAAAACUCUGGAAUGGAUAAACCACAUUUGGGGAGGUGGAAGCACGUAUCAUAAAGAGUCUCUAAAAAGCAAGUUCAGUAUUUCUAAAGAUGCCUCCAGCAGCACGGUGACACUGAGAGGACAGAACAUGCAGACUGAAUACACAGUUGUGUAUUACUGCAUCCACAAUGUAGUCAAUGAAGACAAUGUACCACUUAAACUGCUUGACAUUGGAUUUGGUGGUGUUGGAGGUGUGGAGCUCACUCAGACAGACUCUGUGCUGGUGAAGCCUGGAGAGUCUUUCUCCAUCUCUUGUAAGAUCUCAGUGUCGAGUUAUUGUAUUAACUGGAUACGGCAACCUGCUGGAAAAGCACUGGAAUGGCUCGGAUAUCUGUGUAACGGUGAUAGCACUGAUCUCAAAGACACGAUGAAGAGAAGAUCAGUCUCAGCCAGGACAAAUCCAGCAGCACAGUUUAUUUAA